UUUUAAAUGGCCGCAGUAUUUUGACUGUGCAAAGGUAGCAUAAUCAUUAGUUUUUUAAUUAAAAGCUUGUAUGAAAGGCUGGACGAGGUAAAAUCUGUCUCUAUUUAAAUUAUAGUAGAAUUUAACUUUUAAGUUAAAAGGCUUAAAUAUUAUUAAAAGACGAGAAGACCCUAUAGAUCUUUAUAGUUUAUUAAAUUAAAUUAAUUUAGAAAUAUUAAUGUUUUAUUUAACUAAAUUAUUUUAUUGGGGUAAUAAAAAGAUUGAAUUAAUUCUUUUUUUCAAUAAACAUUAAUUUAUGAAUAUUAAUGAUCCAGUUUUACUGAUUAUAAGAUUAAGUUACCUUAGGGAUAACAGCGUAAUUUUUUUAGAGAGUUCAUAUCGAUAAAAAAGUUUGCGACCUCGAUGUUGGAUUAAAGAUUAUUUUAGGUGUAGAAGCUUAAUAAUUUUGGUCUGUUCGACCAUUAAAUCUUUACAUGAUCUGAGUUCAGACCGGCGUAAGCCAGGUCGGUUUCUAUCUUUAAUAAAAUAAAAUAUUUUAGUACGAAAGGACCAAAUAUUUGAUAUAUUUAUAUUUAAUUUAUUGAAUAUUA
rnacentral:rRNA from 1 species